UUAAGUUAAUAAGGGCGCACGGUGGAUGCCUUGGCACUAGAAGCCGAUGAAGGACGUGACUAACGACGAAAUGCUUUGGGGAGCUGUAAGUGAGCAAUGAUCCAGAGAUGUCCGAAUGGGGGAACCCGGCAGGUAAUGCCUGUCACUCAUUACUGUUAAGGUAAUGUAGAGGAAGACGCAGUGAACUGAAACAUCUAAGUAGCUGUAGGAAGAGAAAGCAAAAGCGAUUGCCUUAGUAGCGGCGAGCGAAACGGCAAGAGGGCAAACCGAAGAGUUUACUCUUCGGGGUUGUAGGACUGCAACGUGGACUUAAAGAUUAUAGAAGAACUACCUGGGAAGGUAGGCCAAAGAGAGUAAUAGCCUCGUAUUCGAAAUAGUCUUUAUACCUAGCAGUAUCCUGAGUACGGCGAGACACGAGAAAUCUCGUCGGAAUCUGGGAGGACCAUCUCCCAACCCUAAAUACUCUCUAGUGACCGAUAGUGAACCAGUACCGUGAGGGAAAGGUGAAAAGCACCCCGGGAGGGGAGUGAAAUAGAACCUGAAACCGUGUGCCUACAACAAGUUCGAGCCCGUUAAUGGGUGAGAGCGUGCCUUUUGUAGAAUGAACCGGCGAGUUACGAUAUGAUGCGAGGUUAAGUUGAAGAGACGGAGCCGUAGGGAAACCGAGUCUUAAUAGGGCGCAUUAGUAUCAUGUCGUAGACCCGAAACCAUGUGACCUACCCAUGAGCAGGUUGAAGGUGAGGUAAAACUCACUGGAGGACCGAACCAGGGCACGUUGAAAAGUGCUUGGAUGACUUGUGGGUAGCGGAGAAAUUCCAAACGAACUUGGAGAUAGCUGGUUCUCUCCGAAAUAGCUUUAGGGCUAGCGUCGAUGUUAAGUCUCUUGGAGGUAGAGCACUGUUUGGGUGAGGGGUCCAUCCCGGAUUACCAAUCUCAGAUAAACUCCGAAUGCCAAUGAGAUAUAAUCGGCAGUCAGACUGCGAGUGCUAAGAUCCGUAGUCGAAAGGGAAACAGCCCAGACCACCAGCUAAGGUCCCAAAAUAUAUGUUAAGUGGAAAAGGAUGUGGGGUUGCACAGACAACUAGGAUGUUAGCUUAGAAGCAGCUAUUCAUUCAAAGAGUGCGUAAUAGCUCACUAGUCGAGUGACCCUGCGCCGAAAAUGUACCGGGGCUAAAACAUAUUACCGAAGCUGUGGAUACCUUUAUAGGUAUGGUAGGAGAGCGUUCUAUGUGCGAAGAAGGUGUACCGUGAGGAGUGCUGGAGCGCAUAGAAGUGAGAAUGCCGGUAUGAGUAGCGAAAGACAGGUGAGAAUCCUGUCCACCGUAAGACUAAGGUUUCCAGGGGAAGGCUCGUCCGCCCUGGGUUAGUCGGGACCUAAGGAGAGACCGAAAGGUGUAUCCGAUGGACAACAGGUUGAUAUUCCUGUACUAGAGUAUAUAGUGAUGGAGGGACGCAGUAGGCUAACUAAACCAGACGAUUGGAAGUGUCUGGCCAAGCAGUGAGGUGUGAUAUGAGUCAAAUGCUUAUAUCUUUAACAUUGAGCUGUGAUGGGGAGCGAAGUUUAGUAGCGAAGUUAGUGAUGUCACACUGCCGAGAAAAGCUUCUAGCGUUAAUUAUACUCUACCCGUACCGCAAACCGACACAGGUAGUCGAGGCGAGUAGCCUCAGGUGAGCGAGAGAACUCUCGUUAAGGAACUCGGCAAAAUGGCCCCGUAACUUCGGGAGAAGGGGCGCUGACUGAUGGUCAGCCGCAGUGAAUAGGCCCAAGCAACUGUUUAUCAAAAACACAGCUCUCUGCUAAAUCGUAAGAUGAUGUAUAGGGGGUGACGCCUGCCCGGUGCUGGAAGGUUAAGAGGAGUGCUUAGCGUAAGCGAAGGCAUGAAUUGAAGCCCCAGUAAACGGCGGCCGUAACUAUAACGGUCCUAAGGUAGCGAAAUUCCUUGUCGGGUAAGUUCCGACCCGCACGAAAGGCGUAAUGAUUUGGGCACUGUCUCAACGAGAGACUCGGUGAAAUUUUAGUACCUGUGAAGAUGCAGGUUACCCGCGACAGGACGGAAAGACCCCAUGGAGCUUUACUGCAGUUUGAUAUUGAGUAUCUGUACCACAUGUACAGGAUAGGUAGGAGCCUAUGACCUCGGGACGCCAGUUUCGAGUGAGGCGUUGUUGGGAUACUACCCUUGUGUUAUGGCUACUCUAACCCAGAUAGGUUAUCCCUAUCGGAGACAGUGUCUGACGGGCAGUUUGACUGGGGCGGUCGCCUCCUAAAAGGUAACGGAGGCGCCCAAAGGUUCCCUCAGAAUGGUUGGAAAUCAUUCGCAGAGUGUAAAGGUAUAAGGGAGCUUGACUGCGAGAGUUACAACUCGAGCAGGGACGAAAGUCGGGCUUAGUGAUCCGGUGGUUCCGUAUGGAAGGGCCAUCGCUCAACGGAUAAAAGCUACCCUGGGGAUAACAGGCUUAUCUCCCCCAAGAGUUCACAUCGACGGGGAGGUUUGGCACCUCGAUGUCGGCUCGUCGCAUCCUGGGGCUGUAGUCGGUCCCAAGGGUUGGGCUGUUCGCCCAUUAAAGCGGCACGCGAGCUGGGUUCAGAACGUCGUGAGACAGUUCGGUCC
rnacentral:rRNA from 1 species